rnacentral:rRNA from 1 species
UACGUAGGGGGCAAGCGUUGUCCGGAUUUAUUGGGCGUAAAGAGCGUGUAGGCGGCCAAGCAGGUCCGCUGUGAAAACUCGAGGCUCAACCUCGAGACGUCGGUGGAAACCGUUUGGCUAGAGUCCGGAAGAGGAGAGUGGAAUUCCCGGUGUAGCGGUGAAAUGCGCAGAUAUCAGGAGGAACACCGGUGGCGAAGGCGGGUCUCUGGGCAGUAACUGACGCUGAGGAGCGAAAGCGUGGGGAGCGAACAGG